UAAAACACAAUCUAAUAGGUAGAAUAAUUUAUUUAUUGUUGGUUUCCGGCCUUAGCUGUAUCCCUUCUUAGCCACAACCCUAAACUACACAUAAUUACUGUAUCUGCAUUACUGUAAGGGGUAGGUUUAGGGUUGGGGUAGGUGUAGACGUUAAUAAACCAUACUUUGAAAGGUAGAAUUUUUCAUUAUCGAAUUGUACUACCUACUGUUUUAAUAGGAGGUAGUAAAAUCUGACAGGGUACCACAGAUCGACAGAACAUAAACCCUGUUACAUUAACUUCAUUUUG